AACGCACGAGACCUGCGGACCUGCGGAGGGAUCAUUACAGAAAUAAACUUGAUGGGUUGUAGCUGAUUCUAUCAAAGAGUAUUGUGCACACCUGUCAUUUUUAUCUUUCCACCAUGUGCAUCUUGCGUAGGUCUGAAAAUCAAAGUUUACUUUGAUGUUGUUGGAAUUGCUGUUAUAUUAACAGCUUUUCCUGGUUUCAGAUUCUAUGAUUUUUAUAUAUACACCAUGUAUGUUGAAGAA
rnacentral:misc_RNA from 1 species